GACGAACGCUGGCGGCGUGCCUAAUACAUGCAAGUCGAGCGGACCAAUAGAAGCUUGCUUCUGUUGGUUAGCGGCGGACGGGUGAGUAACACGUGGGCAACCUGCCUGUAAGACUGGGAUAACUUCGGGAAACCGGAGCUAAUACCGGAUAAUUCAUCCCCUCGCAUGAGGGGAUGCUGAAAGUCGGUUUACGCUGACACUUACAGAUGGGCCCGGGGCGCAUUAGCUAGUUGGUGAGGUAAUGGCUCACCAAGGCGACGAUGCGUAGCCGACCUGAGAGGGUGAUCGGCCACACUGGGACUGAGACACGGCCCAGACUCCUACGGGAGGCAGCAGUAGGGAAUCUUCCACAAUGGACGAAAGUCUGAUGGAGCAACGCCGCGUGAGCGAUGAAGGCCUUCGGGUCGUAAAGCUCUGUUGUUAGGGAAGAACAAGUAUCGGAGUAACUGCCGGCACCUUGACGGUACCUAACCAGAAAGCCACGGCUAACUACGUGCCAGCAGCCGCCGUAA
rnacentral:rRNA from 1 species